rnacentral:other from 1 species
GUUUCCCUGCCUUGUGCGCGGACUGCCGCCUUAUAACCCUACUACAAAGUGAUAUCGGGAGCUCAGCUCCGGGGCCGGAUUGCAGACCUCCCCUGCCGCAGGAUUUUUCUGCGGCAGGGACGAAGGGAGCAGGAACGUCCCGGGCGGCGCCCACCUGCUGACUAUGGUAGCAGGUUAUCAACGGCGGCGAUACGGCUUGGCGGGGCCAAU